rnacentral:tRNA from 1 species
ACGGCGUUAGCUCAGCGGCAAGAGCGGCGGACACAGGUUCGCAGGUCGCCGGUUCGAGUCCGGUACGUCGUGCCA